AUAUUACUCAGCGGAGGAAAAGAAGCUAACAAGGAUUCCCUCAGUAACGGCGAGUGAAGUGGGAACAGCUCAAAUUUUAAAUCGGUGAGGUUUCCUCUCCGAGUUGUAAUCUAUAGAGGCGUUUUUCUGUAGCGGCGGUGGUACAAGUUCCUUGGAAAGGAGAUCAGA
rnacentral:rRNA from 1 species